ACGGCCAUACCACAUUGAAAACACCGGUUCUAAUCCGAUCACCGAAGUUAAGCAAUGUCGGGCCCGGUCAGUACUUGGGAGGGUGACCACCUGGGAACACCGGGUGUUGUAGGCC
rnacentral:rRNA from 1 species